AUCCGAUGCUGUUCACCAAUGAGAUAAUCUUUUAUUUGUGUUGCUGCCAUGGACAUUUCUUAAAAGUAUAAUCAAUUGUCAUAAUAAGUCUGUAAAUAAAAUAGAGAAACUAAGCCCCAUUUAUAGUGUUUAAAAUCCCAAUUACAUUAGGAUUCUAGGAAUCCUAAAUCAACCCUAAUUAGGAAUACUAAAAUAAACUACUGAACUGUAACUUUCCCUAAAAUACGUAGUCUUAUAAUCUCUAGGAUUUCCUACAUCAAU
rnacentral:misc_RNA from 1 species